GUACUCCUACUAGGUUUGAUAACACAUAUACUAAAAUUGAAAUGAUACAAUGAUGAGCAUGGUCCUUGCACAGAGAUAUCAUGCAAACUUGUAAAGCAUUCCAUAUUUUU